UUAAGAGCUUGAGCUCGGUUCGAGUACUAAACGAGCCUCUAUAAAUAAGGCGAGUGCAUACGAGUCGAGCUACAGUUAACCAGAGUUCGGCUCGUUUACUAAAUGAGCCCUUAACGAGCCUCGAGCUACUCGCGAAUGGUUUGUGUGUUUUCAAUUUAUUUUCUCCGGCUGGUAAGAAAUUUCCUUGAGCUAUGGGAUUUGAGAAAAAUCCGGCACAUUUAGAGAUCACUAUAGUGUCGUUCCAGAAUUUUUAUUUUGAAAAUGUAAAGUUCAUUGUUAUGGAGCGUGGAGCCUGAUAGUAUGGUAUAGCAAGGCAUGUCUCUCAAAUCCAAUAACAAAGGGAACAGUAGUAUAUUCUACACUUAGCUAUAUACACUGUAGAGAGAGGAAUGCAUUCCAUAGUUCUUCUUUAUCAUAGGGAAAACUGCUGCAGCUAUGGUGGCCGAAGCCUUCAUGGAUGAACCCACAUAAAUCCAGUGUCCUUUAAGAUUGUGCUUCUAUUUUCUUUUUCUUUUGUAUUCGUAUCUCCAACAUUUUGUGUUAGGUUCCGUGAACUCACUAAUCAACAUGAAGUUGUGGUAGGUACCAGUUUGUUGUUUUACCUCCCAAGUGUGAGAGGACGUGGGGAGAUGGCACAUUGGUCUCCAGCUAUCAGUCAAGCUGCCCAACCUGUGCUGUUUGGUGCCAUCUACUGCUACCCACUUGUUGACGGAGGCUUGAGUGCCUCUGGCCUUUUCUCCUCGUGCUUUGCCUAGUUAUAUGCAUGUUUUCCAUAUGGAGAGAGAGAGAGAGAGAGAGAGAGAGAGAGAGAGAGAGAGAGAGAGAGAGAGAGAGAGAGAGAGAGAGACGUCGUAAAACUCCAAUGCUUGGAGCGGGCCAAACCUAGUUACAUCUCCGUGUCUGCAUUGUGUGUGUGUAACCUUUAACCCCCAACAGCCAAUUCUCUGUUUGCCUUUUGAAAUCGCUAUUGUUAAACUGACAUUAUAUGCACUUUGUUAUGAACUUAUGAGCCAUUCCUUUUUGUUCCAUUUUCUUAGUUGAUAUCAUUUUGCAUAUCAAAAAUUAGCCAAAUGUGUCCAUUUGGAUAACUGCUAAAUGUAGCCUUUCUUGCCUGUAUGUGAAUUGCUAUUGUUAUUAAUCCAUAUUUGCUUCCAUCUGUAGUUAAAAAUCAUUUUUAUCUUUUUGUUUAUGCCGCAUUCUAUUGACUAUUGGCUUUGGACAGACUUGAUUGCUCCGGAAUCUGAAAGGCUUCUGAAAAUGUUGUAAGAGUUCAUCAUCAGGAGGGGGCAGACCUUUUAUACUUUCCAAUUUUCACAACCAUCAGGUUUUUCUUGAUGGAGAAGCAGCAAUGCAAGGCACUUUAUAGUGUGAAGCUUUGAAGUGGGUCACACUCACAGAUCACCUUGCAUGGAAGCAGUCUGAAGGAAGAGACCAUAGACUCCAUUUCAUCAUCCCUGGUCUUUCGAGUCUGUUCGCAGAUAUAUGAAUAAUACAAUUUGGCUGUUACCAGCUAUGGACUCCACAGGGAACUAGUUAGUAUCUGAAUCAAGUUGCAAUGGAUAUGUCUAAUGUCACGUAUUUUUGGGCUGCUGAUGACUAAUUAAAGUAACAACUUUCAGGUACAAGCCUGGGCAAGUUUCACUUGAGAAAGACUUGAUACUUCUAUAUGUCCCCAAUGUUCAUUUGUGUGAUCCAAAAUGCUUAUCUGAAAGUGAAGCAAACAGAAAGACACUGUUAUUUUUUCGAGGGAGGCUUAAAAGAAAUGCUGUAAGAGUUUUGGUCCAGACUAAGAAGUGAAAUACCAUUUGUAUAUUUUGAUUCAUUUAAGAGAAUGUUUUGGAAAGUUAAAAAUAAUCCUGGUCAGUUAUUUAGAUGUGGAAUCAAAGAUCAUGUGAUAUGAUGUUCUGGCAAUAUUCAGAGACAGUUGUAGACUUGCAGUGAAUCCGUAAUAAGUACUUGAUGAGAGUUUGCUUUGUUUCGUUUUGGAAAAAUUGAAUAGCACACAUAUAGGCCAAAAAGAUGGCAACUUUUGUUUUGAAGGCCAACAAAUGGAACUUUCUCAGAGGAAUGAUAUGAAGAAGCUAGAUGUGUCUUUAUU